AUACCGGAUAAUAAAAAGAACUGCAUGGUUCUUUUUUGAAAGAUGGUUUCGGCUAUCACUUACAGAUGGGCCCGCGGCGCAUUAGCUAGUUGGUGGGGUAACGGCUCACCAAGGCGACGAUGCGUAGCCGACCUGAGAGGGUGAUCGGCCACACUGGGACUGAGACACGGCCCAGACUCCUACGGGAGGCAGCAGUAGGGAAUCUUCCGCAAUGGACGAAAGUCUGACGGAGCAACGCCGCGUGAGUGAUGAAGGUUUUCGGAUCGUAAAACUCUGUUGUUAGGGAAGAACAAGUGCCGUUCGAAAGGGCGGCACCUUGACGGUACCUAACGAGAAAGCCACGGCUAACUACGUGCCAGCAGCCGCGGUAAUACGUAGGUGGCAAGCGUUGUCCGGAAUUAUUGGGCGUAAAGCGCGCGCAGGCGGUCUCUUAAGUCUGAUGUGAAAGCCCCCGGCUCAACCGGGGAGGGUCAUUGGAAACUGGGAGACUUGAGUACAGAAGAGGAGAGUGGAAUUCCACGUGUAGCGGUGAAAUGCGUAGAGAUGUGGAGGAACACCAGUGGCGAAGGCGACUCUCUGGUCUGUAACUGACGCUGAGGCGCGAAAGCGUGGGGAGCAAACAGGAUUAGAUACCCUGGUAGUCCACGCCGUAAACGAUGAGUGCUAGGUGUUAGGGGUUUCGACGCCCUUAGUGCCGAAGUUAACACAUUAAGCACUCCGCCUGGGGAGUACGACCGCAAGGUUGAAACUCAAAGGAAUUGACGGGGGCCCGCACAAGCAGUGGAGCAUGUGGUUUAAUUCGAAGCAACGCGAAGAACCUUACCAGGUCUUGACAUCCUUUGACCACCCUAGAGAUAGGGCUUUCCCCUUCGGGGGACAAAGUGACAGGUGGUGCAUGGUUGUCGUCAGCUCGUGUCGUGAGAUGUUGGGUUAAGUCCCGCAACGAGCGCAACCCUUGACCUUAGUUGCCAGCAUUCAG
rnacentral:rRNA from 1 species